rnacentral:rRNA from 1 species
ACUGUGAAACUGCGAAUGGCUCAUUAAAUCAGUUAUCGUUUAUUUGAUAGUACCUUACUACAUGGAUACCUGUGGUAAUUCUAGAGCUAAUACAUGCUAAAAACCCCGACUUCAGGAAGGGGUGUAUUUAUUAGAUAAAAAACCAACGCCCUUCGGGGCUCCUUGGUGAAUCAUAAUAACUUAACGAAUCGCAUGGCCUUGCGCCGGCGAUGGUUCAUUCAAAUUUCUGCCCUAUCAACUUUCGAUGGUAGGAUAGUGGCCUACCAUGGUGGCAACGGGUAACGGGGAAUUAGGGUUCGAUUCCGGAGAGGGAGCCUGAGAAACGGCUACCACAUCCAAGGAAGGCAGCAGGCGCGCAAAUUACCCAAUCCCGAUACGGGGAGGUAGUGACAAUAAAUACUGAUACGGGGCUCUUUUGGGUCUCGUAAUUGGAAUGAGAACAAUUUAAAUCCCUUAACGAGGAACAAUUGGAGGGCAAGUCUGGUGCCAGCAGCCGCGGUAAUUCCAGCUCCAAUAGCGUAUAUUAAAGUUGUUGCAGUUAAAAAGCUCGUAGUUGAACCUUGGGUCUGGCUGGCCGGUCCGCCUCACCGCGAGUACUGGUCCGGCUGGACCUUUCCUUCUGGGGAACCUCAUGGCCUUCACUGGCUGUGGGGGGAACCAGGACUUUUACUGUGAAAAAAUUAGAGUGUUCAAAGCAGGCCUUUGCUCGAAUACAUUAGCAUGGAAUAAUAGAAUAGGACGUGUGGUUCUAUUUUGUUGGUUUCUAGGACCGCCGUAAUGAUUAAUAGGGAUAGUCGGGGGCGUCAGUAUUCAGCUGUCAGAGGUGAAAUUCUUGGAUUUGCUGAAGACUAACUACUGCGAAAGCAUUCGCCAAGGAUGUUUUCAUUAAUCAGGGAACGAAAGUUAGGGGAUCGAAGACGAUCAGAUACCGUCGUAGUCUUAACCAUAAACUAUGCCGACUAGGGAUCGGACGGGAUUCUAUGAUGACCCGUUCGGCACCUUACGAGAAAUCAAAG